GACGUAGGGCGCGAGCGUUGUCCGGAUUUAUUGGGCGUAAAGAGCGUGUAGGCGGCCAGGUAGGUCUGCUGUGAAAACUCGAGGCUCAACCUCGAGACGUCGGCGGAAACCAUCUAGCUAGAGUCCGGAAGAGGAGAGUGGAAUUCCUGGUGUAGCGGUGAAAUGCGCAGAUAUCAGGAAGAACACCCGUGGCGAAGGCGGCUCUCUGGGACGGUACUGACGCUGAGACGCGAAAGCGUGGGGAGCGAACAGG
rnacentral:rRNA from 1 species